AUAAAAUGACUGUGGUUAAAGUGUAGGAGAGUUGACAAUGAAUGGACUGAUGUGUGAGGAGGAGACAGCCUUCCCAGUUCACUGCAGAAAUGGCUGAGGUGAAUUGAAGCCAGCAGCAUGGCAUCCUCAUCCCUCUCCUGAUGGCCACUGAUGCAAACUGAGCAGUCCAGGGAAGCAAUGGAAAGGAGCUGCCCCUAUAGGAAACUUGUGUGCAAGAUGCUUGUUCACAGGGGAGUAAGAAACUAAAAAUAUACUGGAAAAAUGAGUGGGACAAAAAAGAAUUUGAGAAUUGGAAGGAAGAAGCAAUUGAAAACAAAUCUGUUCCAAGUGAGCUGAUGGCCUUUCACUUGAUAGCAAACACGCUGAGCAAAUGGCCCAAUGCCUUCUGCUGAGCUGUGCCAGCCUCUCCUGGUCCAAGGCCUGCCUGUGUGCUGGGUUCAGGGGCCAGGCUGACUCCCUGCCAGCUGGCUGACUUGGGAGGCUCCAGAGCCCUGUUCUAGGGGCACAUCCAGCAUUGCAGCAAUAUGGGAAUCAGAUGCACUGGGUGGGUGAUCCUCACUUUCACCAUCAGCCUAUAAAUAUAUCAGAUCUGCUUAGUUUCCUUAACAGUGCACUGGUCUAGGCAAAUCUCAAGUUUUGUGCUCCUCUGCUUCCGAGAGAAUUUCUCUUCUGAGGUGCUGACUUGGUGGCAGACAACAGCUGCCAAGCAGAAUUUGCAGGCAGGUUAAAGUCGUCAAAAAAAUCUUAAAACCUACUUAAUGAAGCCUUUUAAAUGCUCAUCCUGCACUUUUGAGUGAAGAGCAAUUUAUAUUUCAUAAAAGUAGAAGCUGAGCUGCAAGCUGGACCAGCUCUGCUUCUGUCACUGCUCAUGGGAAUGACAGAUGCACUGAAGAAAAUGUCAUGGUGAGAAAAGUGAUGAAGGAGUAGCACAUCAACAGAUGCCAAGGUACCUCUUGUAGCAAUGCAAAUGAAAAUAGAGCUGAUGGCAAAUGCAACUUUAUUAGAGCCUUGGGAUCCUGAAGACACAGUUAUCCCAAAGUCUACUGGCUGAACCACAACAACAGCAAACAUAAGAACCAUCUGUGAGAGUGUGCCUCAAUUCCAGCUGUUUGAAUCCCAUCAGUACUUGAAAUACACGGCUGCUAAAAUCUC